rnacentral:rRNA from 1 species
UACGAAGGGGGCUAGCGUUGCUCGGAAUGACUGGGCGUAAAGCGCGCGUAGGCGGUUUUUUAAGUCAGAGGUGAAAGCCCAGUGCUCAACACUGGAACUGCCUUUGAAACUGGAAAACUUGAAUCUUGGAGAGGUCAGUGGAAUUCCGAGUGUAGAGGUGAAAUUCGUAGAUAUUCGGAAGAACACCAGUGGCGAAGGCGACUGACUGGACAAGUAUUGACGCUGAGGUGCGAAAGCGUGGGGAGCAAACAGG